CCCUUAGAUGUUCUGGGCCGCACGCGCGCUACACUGACGAAGUCAGCGAGCAUGUCCUACGCCGACAGGUGCGGGGAAUCUUGCCAAACUUCGUCGUGAUGGGGAUUGAUUAUUGAAAUUCUUGAUCAUCAACGAGGAAUUCCUAGUAAGCGCAAGUCAGCAGCUUGCGUUGAUUACGUCCCUGCCCUUUGUACACACCGCCCGUCGCACCUACCGAUUGAAUGUUUCGGUGAAGAUUCCGGAUAGGACUUUUUUGAUUUAUUUCAAUUUUGUCUUAAAAGCUAUCUAAACCUCAACAUUUAGAGGAAGGUGAAGUCGUAACA
rnacentral:rRNA from 1 species